CCAGACUCCUACGGGAGGCAGCAGUGGGGAAUAUUGGACAAUGGGGGGAACCCUGAUCCAGCGGCGCCGCGUGAGUGAAGAAGUAUUUCGGUAUGUAAAGCUCUAUCAGCAGGGAAGAAAGAAAUGACGGUACCUGACUAAGAAGCCCCGGCUAACUACGUGCCAGCAGCCGCGGUAAUACGUAUGGUGCAAGCGUUAUCCGGAUUUACUGGGCGUAAAGGGAGCGCAGGCGGCGCGCCAAGUCUGAUGUGAAACCCCGGGGCUCAACCCCGGGCAUGCAUUGGAAACUGGCGGGCUGGAGUGCCGGAGAGGUAAGCGGAAUUCCUAGUGUAGCGGUGAAAUGCGUAGAUAUUAGGAGGAACACCAGUGGCGAAGGCGGCCUACUGGACGGUGACUGACGCUGAGGCUCGAAAGCGUGGGGAGCAAACAGGAUUAGAUACCCGGGUAGG
rnacentral:rRNA from 1 species